rnacentral:rRNA from 1 species
GAUUGACCUCGGAUCAGGUAGGGAUACCCGCUGAACUUAAGCAUAUCAAUAAGCGGAGGAAAAGAAACCAACAGGGAUUGCCUCAGUAACGGCGAGUGAAGCGGCAACAGCUCAAAUUUGAAAUCUGGCCUUGCGGUCCGAGUUGUAAUUUGCAGAGGAUGCCUCGGGUGCGAUGCCGGUCUAAGUUCCUUGGAACAGGACGUCAUAGAGGGUGAGAAUCCCGUACGUGACCGGCGGUCAACCCCAUGUGAGGCCCCUUCGACGAGUCGAGUUGUUUGGGAAUGCAGCUCUAAAUGGGUGGUAAAUUUCAUCUAAAGCUAAAUACCGGCCAGAGACCGAUAGCGCACAAGUAGAGUGAUCGAAAGAUGAAAAGCACUUUGGAAAGAGAGUUAAACAGUACGUGAAAUUGUUGAAAGGGAAGCGCUUGCGACUAGACUUGCCCGCGGGUGAUCAACCGUCCUUCGGGGCGGUGCACUGACCCGUGGUGCAGGCCAGCAUCGGUUUCGGCGGCCAGAUAAACGGGGCGGGAACGUAGCUCCCCCCGGGGAGUGUUAUAGCCCGCCUCACCAUGUGGCCCGCCGGGACCGAGGACCGCGCUCCGGCUAGGAUGCUGGCGUAAUGGUCGUCAGCGACCCGUCUUGAAACACGGACCAAGGAGUUGUCAAACGACGCGAGUCUUUGGGUGUCAAACCCACGGGCGCAAUGAAAGUGAACGGAGGUGGGAACCCCCUUGGGGGCGCACCAUCGACCGAUCCUGAUGUCUUCGGAUGGAUUUGAGUACGAGCGUCGGUUGACUGACCCGAAAGAUGGUGAACUAUGCGUGAAUAGGGUGAAGCCAGAGGAAACUCUGGUGGAGGCUCGCAGCGGUUCUGACGUGCAAAUCGAUCGUCAAAUUUGCGUAUAGGGGCGAAAGACUAAUCGAACCAUCUAGUAGCUGGUUCCAGCC